UAGACGCCUUUAUUGGCCUGGAUGUAGA
rnacentral:sRNA from 1 species